UGGGGAAUUUUGGACAAUGGGCGAAAGCCUGAUCCAGCAAUGCCGCGUGUGUGAAGAAGGCCUUCGGGUUGUAAAGCACUUUUGUCCGGAAAGAAAUCCUUGGCUCUAAUACAGUCGGGGGAUGACGGUACCGGAAGAAUAAGCACCGGCUAACUACGUGCCAGCAGCCGCGGUAAUACGUAGGGUGCAAGCGUUAAUCGGAAUUACUGGGCGUAAAGCGUGCGCAGGCGGUUUGCUAAGACCGAUGUGAAAUCCCCGGGCUCAACCUGGGAACUGCAUUGGUGACUGGCAGGCUAGAGUAUGGCAGAGGGGGGUAGAAUUCCACGUGUAGCAGUGAAAUGCGUAGAGAUGUGGAGGAAUACCGAUGGCGAAGGCAGCCCCCUGGGCCAAUACUGACGCUCACGCACGAAAGCGUGGGGAGCAAACAGGAUUAGAUACCCUGGUAGUCCACGCCCUAAACGAUGUCAACUAGUUGUUGGGGAAUUCAUUUCCUUAGUAACGUAGCUAACGCGUGAAGUUGACCGCCUGGGGAGUACGGUCGCAAGAUUAAAACUCAAAUGAAUUGACGGGGUC
rnacentral:rRNA from 1 species